CGGAGGAUCUCGCCAAACCACUCUCUUUACACCAAUUGUAAAAUGCCACAAGUUCAUCAAUCUGUUUAGCAGCACUUGCAUAAGCAUCAAAGGCCUUGACACAAUCAGGAUACUCCAUAUCAAAGAAUUUGUCAAGCAACACUGCCAAAACCUCACAUAUAUCAGCAUACAACUGAAAACUUUCCUUAACCAACGGAUACAACGCAAUCAAAAUCAUCCUAUUGUUCUUAGCCAACCCAGUUGGCCUACAAGCCAAGAAACGAUCCAAAAGCCUCUGCAAAUGACUCAUCUUCCCGAAAAUCCUCUCCGGCUUCAUAUCUCUCAAAGGGGUCACAGUAACAAUCCUUCUAUCAUCAUUCCCAGACGCUUCAUUCACAUCACCAUACGACCUCGUCUUCCUCAUCCCACCUUCCCCUCUAAAUUGUCCA
rnacentral:lncRNA from 1 species